rnacentral:tRNA from 1 species
GCCUUCGCGGUCUAAUGGAUAAGGCGUCGGCCUCCUAAGCCGAGGAUUGCGGGUUCGAGUCUCGUCGGAGGUA